UACGGGGGGGGCAAGCGUUGUCCGGAAUUACUGGGCGUAAAGCGCGCGUAGGCGGCUUUGUAAGUUAGAAGUGAAAGCCCGGGGCUCAACCCCGGAACUGCCUUUAAGACUGCAUCGCUUGAAUCCAGGAGAGGUGAGUGGAAUUCCGAGUGUAGAGGUGAAAUUCGUAGAUAUUCGGAAGAACACCAGUGGCGAAGGCGGCUCACUGGACUGGUAUUGACGCUGAUGUGCGAAAGCGUGGGGAGCAAACAGG
rnacentral:rRNA from 1 species